ensembl:rRNA 28SrRNA:CR45844 28S ribosomal RNA:CR45844
UUAUAUACAACCUCAACUCAUAUGGGACUACCCCCUGAAUUUAAGCAUAUUAAUUAGGGGAGGAAAAGAAACUAACAAGGAUUUUCUUAGUAGCGGCGAGCGAAAAGAAAACAGUUCAGCACUAAGUCACUUUGUCUAUAUGGCAAAUGUGAGAUGCAGUGUAUGGAGCGUCAAUAUUCUAGUAUGAGAAAUUAACGAUUUAAGUCCUUCUUAAAUGAGGCCAUUUACCCAUAGAGGGUGCCAGGCCCGUAUAACGUUAAUGAUUACUAGAUGAUGUUUCCAAAGAGUCGUGUUGCUUGAUAGUGCAGCACUAAGUGGGUGGUAAACUCCAUCUAAAACUAAAUAUAACCAUGAGACCGAUAGUAAACAAGUACCGUGAGGGAAAGUUGAAAAGAACUCUGAAUAGAGAGUUAAACAGUACGUGAAACUGCUUAGAGGUUAAGCCCGAUGAACCUGAAUAUCCGUUAUGGAAAAUUCAUCAUUAAAAUUGUAAUAUUUAAAUAAUAUUAUGAGAAUAGUGUGCAUUUUUUCCAUAUAAGGACAUUGUAAUCUAUUAGCAUAUACCAAAUUUAUCAUAAAAUAUAACUUAUAGUUUAUUCCAAUUAAAUUGCUUGCAUUUUAACACAGAAUAAAUGUUAUUAAUUUGAUAAAGUGCUGAUAGAUUUAUAUGAUUACAGUGCGUUAAUUUUUCGGAAUUAUAUAAUGGCAUAAUUAUCAUUGAUUUUUGUGUUUAUUAUAUGCACUUGUAUGAUUAACAAUGCGAAAGAUUCAGGAUACCUUCGGGACCCGUCUUGAAACACGGACCAAGGAGUCUAACAUAUGUGCAAGUUAUUGGGAUAUAAACCUAAUAGCGUAAUUAACUUGACUAAUAAUGGGAUUAGUUUUUUAGCUAUUUAUAGCUAAUUAACACAAUCCCGGGGCGUUCUAUAUAGUUAUGUAUAAUGUAUAUUUAUAUUAUUUAUGCCUCUAACUGGAACGUACCUUGAGCAUAUAUGCUGUGACCCGAAAGAUGGUGAACUAUACUUGAUCAGGUUGAAGUCAGGGGAAACCCUGAUGGAAGACCGAAACAGUUCUGACGUGCAAAUCGAUUGUCAGAAUUGAGUAUAGGGGCGAAAGACCAAUCGAACCAUCUAGUAGCUGGUUCCUUCCGAAGUUUCCCUCAGGAUAGCUGGUGCAUUUUAAUAUUAUAUAAAAUAAUCUUAUCUGGUAAAGCGAAUGAUUAGAGGCCUUAGGGUCGAAACGAUCUUAACCUAUUCUCAAACUUUAAAUGGGUAAGAACCUUAACUUUCUUGAUAUGAAGUUCAAGGUUAUGAUAUAAUGUGCCCAGUGGGCCACUUUUGGUAAGCAGAACUGGCGCUGUGGGAUGAACCAAACGUAAUGUUACGGUGCCCAAAUUAACAACUCAUGCAGAUACCAUGAAAGGCGUUGGUUGCUUAAAACAGCAGGACGGUGAUCAUGGAAGUCGAAAUCCGCUAAGGAGUGUGUAACAACUCACCUGCCGAAGCAACUAGCCCUUAAAAUGGAUGGCGCUUAAGUUGUAUACCUAUACAUUACCGCUAAAGUAGAUGAUUUAUAUUACUUGUGAUAUAAAUUUUGAAACUUUAGUGAGUAGGAAGGUACAAUGGUAUGCGUAGAAGUGUUUGGCGUAAGCCUGCAUGGAGCUGCCAUUGGUACAGAUCUUGGUGGUAGUAGCAAAUAAUCGAAUGAGACCUUGGAGGACUGAAGUGGAGAAGGGUUUCGUGUGAACAGUGGUUGAUCACGAGUUAGUCGGUCCUAAGUUCAAGGCGAAAGCCGAAAAUUUUCAAGUAAAACAAAAAUGCCUAACUAUAUAAACAAAGCGAAUUAUAAUACACUUGAAUAAUUUUGAACGAAAGGGAAUACGGUUCCAAUUCCGUAACCUGUUGAGUAUCCGUUUGUUAUUAAAUAUGGGCCUCGUGCUCAUCCUGGCAACAGGAACGACCAUAAAGAAGCCGUCGAGAGAUAUCGGAAGAGUUUUCUUUUCUGUUUUAUAGCCGUACUACCAUGGAAGUCUUUCGCAGAGAGAUAUGGUAGAUGGGCUAGAAGAGCAUGACAUAUACUGUUGUGUCGAUAUUUUCUCCUCGGACCUUGAAAAUUUAUGGUGGGGACACGCAAACUUCUCAACAGGCCGUACCAAUAUCCGCAGCUGGUCUCCAAGGUGAAGAGUCUCUAGUCGAUAGAAUAAUGUAGGUAAGGGAAGUCGGCAAAUUAGAUCCGUAACUUCGGGAUAAGGAUUGGCUCUGAAGAUUGAGAUAGUCGGGCUUGAUUGGGAAACAAUAACAUGGUUUAUGUGCUCGUUCUGGGUAAAUAGAGUUUCUAGCAUUUAUGUUAGUUACUUGUUCCCCGGAUAGUUUAGUUACGUAGCCAAUUGUGGAACUUUCUUGCUAAAAUUUUUAAGAAUACUAUUUGGGUUAAACCAAUUAGUUCUUAUUAAUUAUAACGAUUAUCAAUUAACAAUCAAUUCAGAACUGGCACGGACUUG